rnacentral:rRNA from 1 species
GACGAACGCUGGCGGCGUGCCUAACACAUGCAAGUCGAACGGAAAGGCGCGGCUCUUGUGGGGUGCUCGAGUGGCGAACGCGUGAGUAAAACGUGAGUAACCUGCACUUAUCAUUGGGAUAACAUCAGGGAACUGCGGCGAAUACCGGAUAGGAGAUCCUGAUGCACGGGGGGGGAUGGAAAGUUACGGCGGUGGGGGCUGGUCUCGCGGCUUAUCAGCUUGUUGGUGGGGUAGUGGCUUACCAAGUCUAUGAAGGGUAGCCGGCCUGGGAGGGGGGCCGGGCACCAGGGGACUGCGAGACGCCCCAGACUCCUACGGUCGGCAGCGGUGGGGAGUAUGGCACAAUGGGCGGAAGCCUGUUGCAGCGACCCCGCGUGCGGGAUGACGGCCUUCUGGUUGUAAACCGCUUUCGCCUGUGACGAAGCGUGAGUGACGGUAAUGGGUAAAGAAGCACCGGCUAACUACGUG